CUACGGGUGGCUCCAGUGGGGAAUAUUGCACAAUGGGGGGAACCCUGAUGCAGCAACGCCGCGUGGAGGAUGACGCAUUUCGGUGUGUAAACUCCUUUUAUAUGUCAAGAAAAUGACGGUAGCAUAUGAAUAAGCACCGGCUAACUCCGUGCCAGCAGCCGCGGUAAUACGGAGGGUGCAAGCGUUACUCGGAAUCACUGGGCGUAAAGGACGCGUAGGCGGGUUGGAAAGUCAGGUGUGAAAUCCUACAGCUUAACUGUAGAACCGCACUUGAAACUUCUAAUCUAGAGUAUGGGAGGGGGAGAUGGAAUUAGUGGUGUAGGGGUAAAAUCCGUAGAUAUCACUAGGAAUACCUAAAGCGAAGGCGAUCUCCUGGAACAUUACUGACGCUAAGGCGUGAAAGCGUGGAGAGCAAACAGGAUUAGAUACCCCUGUAGUC
rnacentral:rRNA from 1 species